UACGUAGGUGGCAAGCGUUAUCCGGAUUUAUUGGGCGUAAAGGGAACGCAGGCGGUCUUUUAAGACUGAUGUGAAAGCCUUCGGCUUAACCGGAGUAGUGCAUUGGAAACUGGGAGACUUGAGUGCAGAAGAGGAGAGUGGAACUCCAUGUGUAGCGGUGAAAUGCGUAGAUAUAUGGAAGAACACCAGUGGCGAAAGCGGCUCUCUGGUCUGUAACUGACGCUGAGGUUCGAAAGCGUGGGUAGCAAACAGG
rnacentral:rRNA from 1 species